rnacentral:rRNA from 1 species
UACGAAGGGGGCUAGCGUUGUUCGGAAUUACUGGGCGUAAAGGGCGCGUAGGCGGUACUUCAAGUCAGGCGUGAAAGCCCCGGGCUCAACCUGGGAACCGCGCUUGAGACUGGAGAACUAGAGUUCGGGAGAGGAUGGUGGAAUUCCCAGUGUAGAGGUGAAAUUCGUAGAUAUUGGGAAAAACACCGAUGGCGAAGGCAGCCAUCUGGACCGACACUGACGCUGAGGCGCGAAAGCGUGGGGAGCAAACAGG